CAUUAACGAAUUACUGAGGGUUGAUGCUGGCAGUCUGACUGCAUGUGCUCGCUCUUAUUAAUCCAUUUACACCUGUGCACUUAGUUUCGAAGGUAGGGUAGAACCUGCCUUUGAGAUUUAACAAAUUCUUUAUUUGAUUAAUGGGUAUUUAUCUGCUGCAAGGCAAAUUUUAAUACAACUUUUAACAACGGAUCUCUUGGCUCUCGCAUCGAUGAAGAACGCAGCGAAAUGCGAUAAGUAAUGUGAAUUGCAGAAUUCAGUGAAUCAUCGAAUCUUUGAACGCACCUUGCGCUCUCUGGUAUUCCGGAGAGCACGCCUGUUCGAGUGUCAUGAAACUCUCAAGCAAGGGUGGCUUUAUUGCUGACCUUGUUUGGAUUUGGACUCUGCUGUGUUAAUGCGGCUGGUCUUAAAUUUAUUAGCUGAUCCUUAUGGAAGGUUUGGUUCUACUCGGCGUGAUAAUUAUCUAACGUUGAGGACAGUCCUAGGACUGGCCAGAGCUAUCUUUGGAUUGCUUCUAAUCGUCUUUGGGACAAAUUUAUUCAAAUCUGACCUCGAAUCAGGUGGGACUACCCGCUGAACUUAAGCAUAUCAAUA
rnacentral:rRNA from 1 species